GAUGAACGCUGGCGGCGUGCCUAAUACAUGCAAGUCGAGCGAACGGACGAGAAGCUUGCUUCUCUGAUGUUAGCGGCGGACGGGUGAGUAACACGUGGAUAACCUACCUAUAAGACUGGGAUAACUUCGGGAAACCGGAGCUAAUACCGGAUGAUAUUUUGAACCGCAUGGUUCAAAAGUGAAAGACGGUCUUGCUGUCACUUAUAGAUGGAUCCGCGCUGCAUUAGCUAGUUGGUAAGGCAACGGCUUACCAAGGCAACGAUGCAUAGCCGACCUGAGAGGGUGAUCGGCCACACUGGAACUGAGACACGGUCCAGACUCCUACGAGAGGCAGCAGUAGGGAAUCUUCCGCAAUGGGCGAAAGCCUGACGGAGCAACGCCGCGUGAGUGAUGAAGGUCUUCGGAUCGUAAAACUCUGUUAUUAGGGAAGAACAUAUGUGUAAGUAACUGUGCACAUCUUGACGGUACCUAAUCAGAAAGCCACGGCUAACUACGUG
rnacentral:rRNA from 1 species